rnacentral:rRNA from 1 species
UCCUACGGGGGGCAGCAGUGGGGAAUAUUGCACAAUGGGGGGAACCCUGAUGCAGCGACGCCGCGUGAGCGAAGAAGUAUUUCGGUAUGUAAAGCUCUAUCAGCAGGGAAGAAAAUGACGGUACCUGACUAAGAAGCCCCGGCUAACUACGUGCCAGCAGCCGCGGUAAUACGUAGGGGGCAAGCGUUAUCCGGAUUUACUGGGUGUAAAGGGAGCGUAGACGGCAGCGCAAGUCUGGAGUGAAAUGCCGGGGCCCAACCCCGGAACUGCUUUGGAAACUGUGCAGCUC